UAAUUUUAACACGAUAUUACAUAUCCAACUGCAUAACUGCAUCAAACGUAAUUCGGUAAACCUUUAUAAAGCAGUCUCUAUUUAAUUAGUACUUCAUUUUCUUCUGCUCAGUUAUCCAAUUCACUAUACAGUUCUACUCCGCCAACUUAAUUGUUUCAGAACGAGCUAUGUCUACGCCGUAUCAAGGGAAGGGUCGCGUUUUUGGAGAAUUCCGUUGCUCCCAAUGCAACCGAACCUGGCAGUCCGGAAAUAGUUGGGCCAACACUGGACAAAAGUGUGAACGCUGCCAAAUAAUGAUCUACCCUUAUUCACAGAGGCAAUUGGAAAAGUCGACGACAGAAAUUGACCUGAACAAGCCGCAUCCUCGUCACCUGUGUGAACGCUGCUUGUCAGGGAAUCUGUGCCCCACGAAACGCUAUUAGUAGGAAGAAUUGGAUAUACUUCUGCUUGGAAUUUUCAAUGCUAUUUAUGAGAGAAAUGCGAUUCAACAAUUUCUUAUCAAUAAAUUUAUCACUUGAUAAAGUUAAUUUUAAUCAA